rnacentral:lncRNA from 1 species
GAAUUCGUCUCUGAGAUCCCCAAACAUUACCAACAAAUACAGGGAAUUGUCCCUGGUAACCCUAGAACUGAUGAAAACGGUGGAAUGGCAAUCCCAGAACCAAGAAAAUAAUGGAAUUCUCUCCUGGCAAUCC